UACACUCCUGCGGGAGGCAGCAGUGGGGAAUAUUGCACAAUGGGCGCAAGCCUGAUGCAGCCAUGCCGCGUGUAUGAAGAAGGCCUUCGGGUUGUAAAGUACUUUCAGCGGGGAGGAAGGCGAUAAGGUUAAUAACCUUGUCGAUUGACGUUACCCGCAGAAGAAGCACCGGCUAACUCCGUGCCAGCAGCCGCGGUAAUACGGAGGGUGCAAGCGUUAAUCGGAAUUACUGGGCGUAAAGCGCACGCAGGCGGUCUGUCAAGUCGGAUGUGAAAUCCCCAGGCUCAACCUGGGAACUGCAUUCGAAACUGGCAGGCUAGAGUCUUGUAGAGGGGGGUAGAAUUCCAGGUGUAGCGGUGAAAUGCGUAGAGAUCUGGAGGAAUACCGGUGGCGAAGGCGGCCCCCUGGACAAAGACUGACGCUCAGGUGCGAAAGCGUGGGGAGCAAACAGGAUUAGAUACCCGAGUAGUCCC
rnacentral:rRNA from 1 species